ensembl:lncRNA
CAAAUCUGACCCCCCCAGCCAUUACUUAUGUAAAGUAAAAAAAAAAAAACAUUUCUAGUAGAAAAAAAUAACAAAAAUAUCAACAUAACGCCAAACUAAUGCCUAAAUAAUAAUUUUCUAGCACACAUGCCCCCCUCCAUUGUGCAUUGGACUAGUCCAGAAUAUGAUGACGUAGUAACGCGCGCAGCGCGAAAUAACGUACUUCAAACCAAAGCAUAGGGAUGCGACUCGGUGAAAAUGAAGCGGCGGAAUUAUGAAAGUGGUUGUGCUAAACGAAGACAAAAAGCUGAGAAGAGAAGAAUUGCAGAUACACUGCCGAAAUUAACAUCAUUUUUUACACCUGCUGCUGCCACAGCAGCCGCGGCUGCUGAACUUGCGACAGGCUCUGCUGUUGGGGGAAAUGAUGAAGUGGAGGUGGAGGAGGAAGGAGGAGAGGUGGGUGCCGAAGGAGAAGAGGUGGCUAUGGAAGCCGAAGGAGAGGAAGAUGAAGACGAAGAUGAUUUGGCGCGGUUCUGCACUGACGGCACGAACGACUGGAAAAAUGUAUCAGCCUUCCUAAAAGAACACGAGAAGUCUGCUGAUCACCUCGCAAAUAUGGCUGUUUGGCGAACGCUUCAGCAACGGCUCCAAACAGUACAACAAGAUGGGAGGCUAGGGUGGAGUCCGUGAAAGCCGUCCGAUACCAGUUGCCUGAAAUUUUGGAUGCCCUGACCGCUCUGAGGGAGUAUGCUGAGGAGAAGCAAGACUCUGAAUGCGCCUCCAAUGCCAACGGCAUUCACAAAGAGAUGAAGAAAUGGCCUUUUCUGUGAGAAAACAACAGGGGAAAAGACAGAUGAACAACAUCACCUUCUAUCAGUGAGCCCUGGCUGAACAAGGUUGGGUUCUAUACUGCUGCUCACCACUAUUCUCUGAUAUGAAGACGACAACAGUCAUGGCCGAUCACAGCUGCUCACCAUCAUUGACACCAGCAUCCCCACACACAUGAUCUUCAUCCAGGCAGCUCUCUCUCUCUCUCUCUCUCUCUCUCUCUCUCUCUCUCUCUCUCUCUCUCUCUCUCUCUCUCUCUCUCUCUCUCUCUCUCUCUCUCUCUCUCUCUCUCUCUCUCUCUCUCUCUCUCUCUCUCUCUCUCUCUCUCUCCUGUCACUCACUCACACUGAACCACUGCUUUGCCUGUCUCUCACUCACACACACAGCCACUGUUAUUCCUGUCCACACACAAAAUCUUUUCAUUGGUCCUGUUUAAAUGUAAAUUGUGGUUUUCAUAGACUCAUAUCCAUUUUGUAUUUUAGUUCUGUUAAGUGCAAGAUCAUUUUGUAUCUCUGGCAGAGAAUGGAAAUUUUAAUCUCUCUCUCUCUCUCUCUCUCUCUCUCUCUCUCUCUCUCUCUCUC